AAUUCCCUGCAGGUAUUCAGCCAAGGACACCUCGCCGUCCUCUGGAAUGUCAGAUUGUAAUGUCGAAAUCUCGAUACCAGAUACAUGUUUAAAAGCUCUGAGUCAUUGUGCCUUGUUUCAUUUGUGAAAUCGUUAUUCAAAAGAAACAACAAUGCUUCUUCUCAUCUGCUUGGCGUUCGUCGGUCUGUGUGCUGGACAAGGGUUAAAUCAAACAAACUUAACCGAUAUCUUCGAGCAAACUAUCGACACUAACAAUAACACGAUUCUCGACCUCCCGGAAUUCAAGGCCAUCGUCCUCCAGGACGAUCUGAACAAGGACGGCAAGGUGUCCUUUGCCUGAAUACCAGAAGGGAAUUGGAGGCACGGGGAAAGGACCAGCUGCCCUCUUCGCCCCUCGUCGACCCCAACAGUGACGGCUUUGUUGACGUUUCAGAAUUGCCUGUCAUCCUUAGCAGCUUCUGACGCCGACGGCGAUGGCAAGGUCACGGAGGGAGAAUUUAUCAAGAAAUAUAGCGAACUUUACUCUAA
rnacentral:misc_RNA from 1 species